GCGGUGUUACAUCAUCCUCACAUGACGAUGCAGCGUUGUCAUUAUCAACUACACUCAAUCAUUAUGAAAAUGUGCCUCCCCUUACUAUAUCAGGGGUUGUCUUGGAUAACACCAAAGAAAUUAGGCUAAUACGUCCAGGUGGAUGCAAUAAAAACUUGACUGUCGAAAAAAGGGAGCAGAUAAAUGCAAAAAGACGGGCUUCUUAUCAGAAGAAAAGAGAGAUGCUUAUCGAAGAUGAAAAACUUACUCUCCAUACGAUAUCAAGUAAGAUUGUACUAACAUCUA